rnacentral:rRNA from 1 species
UGCCAGCCGCCGCGGUAAUAUGGAGGGUGCAAGCGUUGUUCGGAAUUAUUGGGCGUAAAGCGCGUGUAGGCGGUUCGUUAAGUCAGGUGUGAAAGCUCGGGGCUCAACCCCGGAAGUGCACUUGAAACAGCAAGACUUGAAUACGGUAGAGGAGAGAGGAAUUCCUGGUGUAGAGGUGAAAUUCGUAGAUAUUCGGAAGAACACCAGUGGCGAAGGCGACUCACUGGACCAUUAUUGACGCUGAGGUGCGAAAGCGUGGGGAGCAAACAGGAUUAGAUA